GACGAACGCUGGCGGCGUGCCUAAUACAUGCAAGUCGAACGCAGUGGGGACGGGUGAGUAACACGUGGGUAACCUCCCAUCAGACGGGAUAACACUUGGAAACAGGUGCUAAACCGAUAUUGGUGGAUGGCACCGGGGUGCAUUAGCUAGUUGGUGGGGUAACGGCUCACCAAGGCCACGAUGAAUAGCCGGCCUGAGAGGCGUAUCGGCCACACUGGAACUGAGACACGGCCCAGACUCCUACGGGAGGCAGCAGUAGGGAAUCUUCCGCAAUGGACGAAAGUCUGACCGAGCAACGCCGCGUGAGUGAAGAAGGUUUUCGGAUCGUAAAGCACUGUUGUUAGGGAAGCGGUAUCUAACCAGAAAGCCACGGCUAACUACGUGCCAGCAGCCGCGGUAAUUC
rnacentral:rRNA from 1 species